CCCCCUCUCCUCCCCAGUGUCUCGUCUUCCCACAGUCCCUCUGAACACACCCUGCCUCGGGCUGGCUCCAGGGGCUUUUGGAGGCAAGUUUUCUCCCUCUGAGUUGCUGAAUUUUCCUUGACCGUGUUGCCUCUUUGACAGCUCUCACAUACUGUAAUAUGAAAUCGUUGUGUCUUUUUACAUCCAGACUAUAAGCUUCCUGAGGGCAGAAACCAGGCUGCUUUGUUCACACUCCUCCCAGCGCGGGGGACAACAGAGACACGCAGGAGAGGAGAUUGACUAGAAACCAGCUAAUGUGUCUCUCGCAUUGCCACUCUCCUCCAGUCAAACUCCACCUUGGCUCCUGCAUCAGCUGAUGAAACCCAGGCGCCUUCUCCCCCUGCAGCUCUGCCAGAGGGCUCCUUCCUGACCUCCGAAGGUGACUCACGUGGGUCGAGUUUCUGACUCCCCAGGAAGCGCUGCCAGUCCUGGAGGCUGAGGUUGGACUAUUGUAUUGCUCUACAUAAACAAAGCCUUCAUCUGGCCUGAGCCUCAAAGAAAGACUCUACAGAUGGCACCGUUAUAGAUGAGACCACAGCAGAAAAGCUCUGGCAAGAUUAGUUGCAAAAUGAGGAUGAGGAAAAGGCUGGGGAGCACCACCAUGGAGGAAUAGUGAAGAGCAGGCAUUUGAGAAGCUCUACUCGGCUGUGUGACCUUGGGCGGUUAUCUAAGCCACUGGGGUCAGCUUCCCCACCUGGAAAAGCAAGAUAGCAACAGAGGGUACUUCCUGCCACGGAGGCCGUCUCCUUUGCCUUCACAACAGUAUAAUGGGUACUAUUAUUCUUCCUGC
rnacentral:lncRNA from 1 species